CCUACGGGAGGCAGCAGUGAGGAAUAUUGGUCAAUGGGCGCGAGCCUGAACCAGCCAAGUAGCGUGAAGGAUGACUGCCCUAUGGGUUGUAAACUUCUUUUAUAAAGGAAUAAAGUGAGGCACGUGUGCCCUUUUGUAUGUACUUUAUGAAUAAGGCUCGGCUAACUCCGUGCCAGCAGCCGCGGUAAUACGGAGGAUCCGAGCGUUAUCCGGAUUUAUUGGGUUUAAAGGGAGCGUAGAUGGGUUGUUAAGUCAGUUGUGAAAGUUUACGGCUCAACCGUAAAAUUGCAGUUGAUACUGGCAGCCUUGAGUACAGGAGAGGUAGGCGGAAUUCGUGGUGUAGCGGUGAAAUGCUUAGAUAUCACGAAGAACACCGAUUGCGAAGGCAGCCUGCUGGACUGUAACUGACGCUGAUGCUCGAAAGUGUGGGUAUCAAACAGGAUUAGAUACCCGAGUAGUC
rnacentral:rRNA from 1 species